ACCUGGUUGACUCGGUCGGUAGAGCACAAGACUCUCAAUCUUGGGGUUGUGAGUUUGAGCCUCACAUUGGGUG
rnacentral:tRNA from 2 species